GAUGAACGCUAGCGGCAGGCCUAACACAUGCAAGUCGAGGGAGAAGCCCUUUCGGGGGCAGGAACCGGCGCACGGGUGCGUAACGCGUAUGCAACCUACCUUUCACAUGGGGAUAGCCCGAAGAAAUUUUGAUUAAUACCCCAUAAUAUUAUUGGAUGGCAUCAUUUGAUAAUUAAAACUGCGGUGGUGAAAGAUGGGCAUGCGUCCUAUUAGCUAGUUGGAGUGGUAACGGCACCCCAAGGCUACGAUAGGUAGGGGUCCUGAGAGGGAGAUCCCCCACAAUGGUACUGAGACAGGGACCAGACUCGUACGGGAGGCAGCAGUGAGGAAUAUUGGUCAAUGGUCGGAAGACUGAACCAGCCAUGCCGAGUGCAGGGAGAAUGCCUUAUGGGUUGUAAACUGCUUUUAUAUGGGAAGAAUAAGGCGUACGUGUACGUUGAUGACGGUACCAUAUGAAUAAGCAUCGGCUAACUCCGUG
rnacentral:rRNA from 1 species